UCGUAUCUGGCCGAGUGGUCUAAGGCGCUAGCUCAAGUCUUCGGAGGAGAGAGUUCGAAUCUCUCGGCUGUACGAU
rnacentral:tRNA from 1 species